GACGAACGCUGGCGGCGUGCCUAACACAUGCAAGUCGAGCGGUCCGACAUUUAACAUUGAGUAUUCAGUACGAGUUGGCAGAUGAGCCAGCGUCAGGCAGAAAGAUACUUGAGAUCAGAUCAGGUUUUUUGCUUCACGCCAUAUCAAGUGCCGACGCAAAGGCGGACUGAGUAUUGAAUGUUGAAUGUCGGAUAGCGGCGGACGGGUGAGUAACGCGUGGGCAACCUGCCUUUCACAGGGGGAUAACACAGGGAAACUUGUGCUAAUACCGCAUAACAUCAUGUGGGGCAUCUCAUGUGAUCAAAGGAGCAAUCCGGUGAAAGAUGGGCCCGCGUCCAAUUAGCUAGUUGGUGAGGUAAUGGCUCACCAAGGCGACGAUUGGUAGCCGAACUGAGAGGUUGAUCGGCCACAUUGGGACUGAGACACGGCCCAGACUCCUACGGGAGGCAGCAGUGGGGAAUAUU
rnacentral:rRNA from 1 species